UACGAAGGGGGCUAGCGUUGCUCGGAAUCACUGGGCGUAAAGCGCACGUAGGCGGGUCGUUAAGUCGGGGGUGAAAUCCUGGAGCUCAACUCCAGAACUGCCUUCGAUACUGGCGAUCUUGAGUUCGGAAGAGGUUGGUGGAAUUGCGAGUGUAGAGGUGAAAUUCGUAGAUAUUCGCAAGAACACCAGUGGCGAAGGCGGCCAACUGGUUCGAUACUGACGUUGAGGUGCGAAAGCGUGGGGAGCAAACAGG
rnacentral:rRNA from 1 species